rnacentral:rRNA from 1 species
GCGUUGUUGGGUAGGGGAGCGUUCUGUAAGCCUGCGAAGGUGUGCUGUGAGGCAUGCUGGAGGUAUCAGAAGUGCGAAUGCUGACAUAAGUAACGAUAAAGCGGGUGAAAAGCCCGCUCGCCGGAAGACCAAGGGUUCCUGUCCAACGUUAAUCGGGGCAGGGUGAGUCGACCCCUAAGGCGAGGCCGAAAGGCGUAGUCGAUGGGAAACAGGUUAAUAUUCCUGUACUUGGUGUUACUGCGAAGGGGGGACGGAGAAGGCUAUGUUGGCCGGGCGACGGUUGUCCCGGUUUAAGCGUGUAGGCUGGUUUUCCAGGCAAAUCCGGAAAAUCAAGGCUGAGGCGUGAUGACGAGGCACUACGGUGCUGAAGCAACAAAUGCCCUGCUUCCAGGAAAAGCCUCUAAGCAUCAGGUAACAUCAAAUCGUACCCCAAACCGACACAGGUGGUCAGGUAGAGAAUACCAAGGCGCUUGAGAGAACUCGGGUGAAGGAACUAGGCAAAAUGGUGCCGUAACUUCGGGAGAAGGCACGCUGAUAUGUAGGUGAAGUCCCUUGCGGAUGGAGCUGAAAUCAGUCGAAGAUACCAGCUGGCUGCAACUGUUUAUUAAAAACACAGCACUGUGCAAACACGAAAGUGGACGUAUACGGUGUGACGCCUGCCCGGUGCCGGAAGGUUAAUUGAUGGGGUCAGCGCAAGCGAAGCUCUUGAUCGAAGCCCCGGUAAACGGCGGCCGUAACUAUAACGGUCCUAAGGUAGCGAAAUUCCUUGUCGGGUAAGUUCCGACCUGCACGAAUGGCGUAAUGAUGGCCAGGCUGUCUCCACCCGAGACUCAGUGAAAUUGAACUCGCUGUGAAGAUGCAGUGUACCCGCGGCAAGACGGAAAGACCCCGUGAACCUUUACUAUAGCUUGACACUGAACAUUGAGCCUUGAUGUGUAGGAUAGGUGGGAGGCUUUGAAGUGUGGACGCCAGUCUGCAUGGAGCCGGCCUUGAAAUACCACCCUUUAAUGUUUGAUGUUCUAACGUGGACCCGUGAUCCGGGUUGCGGACAGUGUCUGGUGGGUAGUUUGACUGGGGCGGUCUCCUCCUAAAGAGUAACGGAGGAGCACGAAGGUUGGCUAAUCCUGGUCGGACAUCAGGAGGUUAGUGCAAUGGCAUAAGCCAGCUUGACUGCGAGCGUGACGGCGCGAGCAGGUGCGAAAGCAGGUCAUAGUGAUCCGGUGGUUCUGAAUGGAAGGGCCAUCGCUCAACGGAUAAAAGGUACUCCGGGGAUAACAGGCUGAUACCGCCCAAGAGUUCAUAUCGACGGCGGUGUUUGGCACCUCGAUGUCGGCUCAUCACAUCCUGGGGCUGAAGUAGGUCCCAAGGGUAUGGCUGUUCGCCAUUUAAAGUGGUACGCGAGCUGGGUUUAGAACGUCGUGAGACAGUUCGGUCCCUAUCUGCCGUGGGCGCUGGAGAACUGAGGGGGGCUGCUCCUAGUACGAGAGGACCGGAGUGGACGCAUCACUGGUGUUCGGGUUGUCAUGCCAAUGGCACUGCCCGGUAGCUAAAUGCGGAAGAGAUAAGUGCUGAAAGCAUCUAAGCACGAAACUUGCCCCGAGAUGAGUUCUCCCUGACCCUUUAAGGGUCCUGAAGGAACGUUGAAGACGACGACGUUGAUAGGCCGGGUGUGUAAGCGCAGCGAUGCGUUGAGCUAACCGGUACUAAUGAACCGUGAGGCUUAACCUUACAACGCCGAAG